UAGGGAAUCUUCCACAAUGGCGAAAGUCUGAUGGAGCAACGCCGCGUGAGUGAAGAAGGGUUUCGGCUCGUAAAACUCUGUUGUUAAAGAAGAACAUAUCUGAGAGUAACUGUUCAGGUAUUGACGGUAUUUAACCAGAAAGCCACGGCUAACUACGUGCCUG
rnacentral:rRNA from 1 species